GGGGCUAGCGUUGUUCGGAAUUACUGGGCGUAAAGCGCGCGCAGGCGGUCCUUUAAGUCAGGGGUGAAAGCCCAGAGCUCAACUCUGGAACGGCCUUUGAAACUAGAGGACUUGGGUACGGGAGAGGUGAGUGGAAUUCCGAGUGUAGAGGUGAAAUUCGUAGAUAUUCGGAAGAACACCAGUGGCGAAGGCGGCUCACUGGCCCGUUACCGACGCUCAGGCGCGACAGCGUGGGGAGCAAACAGG
rnacentral:rRNA from 1 species